GACAGAGGCCUCGAGCGUUUAGGCGGAAUCACUGGGCUUAAAGCGUGUGUAGGCGGGCCCGUAAGUGUCUUGUGAAAUCCCACGGCUCAACCGUGGAACUGCUGGGCAUACUGCGGGUCUUGGGCCAACUAGGGGCAGCCGGAACAAGCGGUGGAGCGGUGAAAUGCGUAGAUAUCGCUUGGAACGCCGAAGGUGAAAACAGGCUGCUGGGGUUGCGCCGACGCGUGAGACACGAAAGCCAGGGGAGCAAACGGG
rnacentral:rRNA from 1 species